rnacentral:rRNA from 1 species
UACGAAGGGGGCUAGCGUUGCUCGGAAUCACUGGGCGUAAAGCGCACGUAGGCGGAUCUUUUAAGUCAGGGGUGAAAAUCCCGGAGCUCAACUCCCGGAACUGCCUUUGAUACUUGAAGACCUUGAGUCCGGGAGAGGUGAGUGGAACUGCGAGUGAGAGGUGAAAUUCGUAGAUAUUCGCAAGAACACCAGUGGCGAAGGCGGCUCACUGGCCGGUACUGACGCUGAGGUGCGAAACGUGGGACAACAGG